GUGGCUGUAGCUCAGUUGGCAGAGCACCUGUCUGUGGAUCAGGAUGUCGCGGGUUCGAGCCCCGUCAGCCACC
rnacentral:tRNA from 1 species